AUUAUUUUUGUAAAAAAUAUCUGUUAUAGUGUGCGAAUAAAAUGUCGCUCGAGUUAUGGUUUCGAGGACGGAACUGGGAACAUGCGGCAUAUUUCCGAUGAUUGCCGAAAAUGUACCGAGAUGUUGCACCCUCCAUGUCGUUCCUAGGCAACGUGGUUGCUAUAUAAAUCUAGCCAAUCAGAUCGCGAGGUCGAUUGUCCGCCAUUACCUCCGUCAACUUGUCGGACCUCAGUUGAACACCGCGAGAAUACAUAUGAAAACAGAAAAUGGUGAAAACGUGCUCGUGGGGAACUGGCAACAGUAACGGCCGAUACCCUGAUAGAUUGGAGGGCGGUGUUGUAUAUUCUACAAUUCAUGAAACCUAAAACAUACAGCUUUGGAAGUUUUGUCAGCAGCAGCUUAAAUAAAGAGGCUAGAACAACAACUACAUAGAUAUGAGCUGCUGAAUUUGCACCAUGAACAACAAAAUACUACAUCUUUCUCAAGUGUUAUAUUGAUAGUGAAAUUAAGCAGAAAUAAAAUCGAUUGACAUCCUGAA